UACGUAGGUGGCAAGCGUUGUCCGGAAUUAUUGGGCGUAAAGCGCUCGUAGGCGGCGUGUCGCGUCGGAUGUGAAAGCUCGGGGCUUAACCCUGGGUCUGCAUUCGAUACGGGCAGGCUAGAGUUCGGUAGGGGAGAUCGGAAUUCCUGGUGUAGCGGUGAAAUGCGCAGAUAUCAGGAGGAACACCGGUGGCGAAGGCGGAUCUCUGGGCCGAUACUGACGCUGAGGAGCGAAAGCGUGGGGAGCGAACAGG
rnacentral:misc_RNA from 1 species